rnacentral:piRNA from 1 species
UUGAGGAAAGAGUAUAAAAUUCAGUU